UUAAAUUGAAGAGUUUGAUCAUGGCUCAGAUUGAACGCUGGCGGCAGGCCUAACACAUGCAAGUCGAACGGUAGCACAGAGAGCUUGCUCUCGGGUGACGAGUGGCGGACGGGUGAGUAAUGUCUGGGAAACUGCCUGAUGGAGGGGGAUAACUACUGGAAACGGUGGCUAAUACCGCAUAACGUCGCAAGACCAAAGAGGGGGACCUUCGGGCCUCUUGCCAUCAGAUGUGCCCAGAUGGGAUUAGCUUGUUGGUGAGGUAACGGCUUACCAAGGCGACGAUCCCUAGCUGGUCUGAGAGGAUGACCAGCCACACUGGAACUGAGACACGGUCCAGACUCCUACGGGAGGCAGCAGUGGGGAAUAUUGCACAAUGGGCGCAAGCCUGAUGCAGCCAUGCCGCGUGUAUGAAGAAGGCCUUCGGGUUGUAAAGUACUUUCAGCGGGGAGGAAGGUGUUGUGGUUAAUAACCACAGCAAUUGACGUUACCCGCAGAAGAAGCACCGGCUAACUCCGUGCCAGCAGCCGCGGUAAUACGGAGGGUGCAAGCGUUAAUCGGAAUUACUGGGCGUAAAGCGCACGCAGGCGGUCUGUCAAGUCGGAUGUGAAAUCCCCGGGCUCAACCUGGGAACUGCAUUCGAAACUGGCAGGCUUGAGUCUUGUAGAGGGGGGUAGAAUUCCAGGUGUAGCGGUGAAAUGCGUAGAGAUCUGGAGGAAUACCGGUGGCGAAGGCGGCCCCCUGGACAAAGACUGACGCUCAGGUGCGA
rnacentral:rRNA from 1 species